rnacentral:rRNA from 1 species
UACGUAGGGGGCAAGCGUUGUCCGGAUUUAUUGGGCGUAAAGCGCUCGCAGGUGGUUUAUUGCGUCGGGCGUGAAAGACCCCGGCUCAACUGGGGAGGGUCGUGCGAAACGGGUGAACUAGAGGCCAGUAGGGGGAUGCGGAAUUCCGGGUGUAGUGGUGGAAUGCGUAGAGAUCCGGAGGAACACCAGCGGCGAAGGCGGCAUCCUGGACUGGUCCUGACACUCAGGAGCGAAAGCGUGGGGAGCGAUCCGG